GGGGCUGAUUCUGGAUUCGACGGGAUUUGCGAAACCCAAGGUGCAUGCCGAGGGGCGGUUGGCCUCGUAAAAAGCCGCAAAAAAAUAGUCGCAAAUGACGAAAACUACGCUUUAGCAGCUUAAUAACCUGCUUAGAGCCCUCUCUCCCUAGCCUCCGCUCUUAGGACGGGGAUCAAGAGAGGUCAAACCCAAAAGAGAUCGCGCGGAUGCCCUGCCUGGGGUUGAAGCGUUAAAACGAAUCAGGCUAGUCUGGUAGUGGCGUGUCCGUCCGCAGGUGCCAGGCGAAUGUAAAGACUGACUAAGCAUGUAGUACCGAGGAUGUAGGAAUUUCGGACGCGGGUUCAACUCCCGCCAGCUCCACCA
rnacentral:tmRNA from 1 species